rnacentral:tRNA from 1 species
GGUUUUGUGGUAUAGUUGGUUAUCACGUCAGUCUAACACAUUGAAGGUCUCUAGUUCAAGUCCGGGCGAAACCA